ACUAAAUGAUUUUAAGAGAUGGUACCUUCCUGGAGAAACGCAUACUCUUUUUGAUUGCAAGAAUGUUUUUCCCAUCCUGAUUGAUGACUUCGACCAGACGGAAAAUGAUGUCUCUAUCCUUCUCUCAAUAACAGACACAACAGCAAGUUACAGGAUAAUCUUCUGGACCGGGAACGAACGAGAUUAUGGUACCAAAGCUGACUUGUUGCUCAACAUUGUUGGGUCGUGUGGAUCAGUUGCUAAGACAUUGAAGAAUGGGAAAGACUUCAGGCUACGGAGAGGACACAUGAGUAGAUUCAGGGUAGUUUGUUGACGCUUCCGUCUGCCACGUACAAGAGGCUGGCCUUGCCUUUGUUGAACCCUGCCACUCUGAUGACUGGUUCGUUGAAUAUAUUGACGUGUGGGCAGUCAAUAUGGAAACAGGAAAGAAAGAUGUUUGGUUUUUCAGGACAGAUUAUUGGCUUGAUGCAAGUGACAAUGGCAAACGGACAACUGGAAUAACGUGCGUCAGGAUACCUGCAAUUAUGGGUUUGUUUGCCGUUAUUGGUGAUACAGGUGCUAACUGCUCAUCUAGCCAGAUAUGUGAAGACGUUUGAGAACACGGUCCCUACACAUAAAGCGUCCGUAAUGCCACCAGCUGUCGUAAAUAUAUAGUGUGUCAUAGGCUCUUAAACGACUUACAGCUACAGACACAUUGUGGAUCAGGCUAGGUAAUGCCUUACUCUAACGGUAAACUGUCUACACGCUGUGG